GACGAACGCUGGCGGCGUGCUUAACACAUGCAAGUCGAACGGAAAGGCCCUGCUCUUGUGGGGUGCUCGAGUGGCGAACGGGUGAGUAACACGUGAGUAACCUGCCCUUGACUUUGGGAUAACUUCAGGAAACUGGGGCUAAUACCGGAUAGGAGCUCCUGCUGCAUGGUGGGGGUUGGAAAGUUUCGGCGGUUGGGGAUGGACUCGCGGCUUAUCAGCUUGUUGGUGGGGUAGUGGCUUACCAAGGCUUUGACGGGUAGCCGGUCUGAGAGGGUGACCGGCCACAUUGGGACUGAGAUACGGCCCAGACUCCUACGGGAGGCAGCAGUGGGGAAUAUUGCACAAUGGGCGGAAGCCUGAUGCAGCAACGCCGCGUGCGGGAUGACGGCCUUCGGGUUGUAAACCGCUUUCGCCUGUGACGAAGCGUGAGUGACGGUAAUGGGUAAAGAAGCACCGGCUAACUACGUG
rnacentral:rRNA from 1 species